AUUAUACUCAAAGAGCAUUCUUCUGAGGAUUUCCCUGCCACAGAGAAGAGGCGACAUGUGUAAACAAUCAGCAGGGACUGAUGAGGCACUCCUAUGCUCCCACUAUUGUAUUUAUCUAUCAAUAAAUCCUUCUGGGACUUGCAAUCGCAUGUUUCCUGAGUAAGAAGCUUUGAAGGGGAAAUUUGAAAAGAAGAAUCACAUAGAAGAAGGAGGAGAAAGAAAAACAGUUGUAAAGGUACAGCAGAAGGGGCAAGAAAAUGUGGAAUGAGAGUCACCGACUUCUCC
rnacentral:lncRNA from 1 species